rnacentral:rRNA from 1 species
CCUGAAAAAUAAGCAUAGGGGGUCCUGCCUGCCCAGUGACUGAAAAGUUAAACGGCCGCGGUAUCUUGACCGUGCGAAGGUAGCAUAAUCAUUUGUCUCCUAAAUAGAGACUGGUAUGAAUGGCAAGACGGAGCUUCACUGUCUCCUCCUCUUUGAUCUGAACUUCACAUUCCCGUGAAGAGGCGAGAAUUAGUUCGUAAGACGAGAAGACCCUGUCGAGCUGUAGCUAAAUUUUAAUUGUUGUUUACUAUUAGCCCUAACUAAUUAUAAUAAGAGUAGCAGGCCUAAAGCAUGACAAAUUAAAACAAGCUUUGAUUGGGGCAAUCCCGGAGAAAGAAAAUCCUCCGCUACUAUAUGGUUAUAUUAACCUAAAAUAAAAGAAUUAUUUUUCUUAAAUCAUAAGAAUGAAGGUAUGAUCCACUUACAGUGAUCAAAAGAACAAG